CCUACGGGAGGCAGCAGUGGGGAAUAUUGGACAAUGGAGGAAACUCUGAUCCAGCAACGCCGCGUGAAUGAUGAAGGACUUCUGUGUGUAAAGCUCUUUUAAUAUGGAAGUAAAUGAUGCUACUUGACUAAUAAUCUCCGGCUAACUACGUGCCAGCAGCAGCGGCAAGAUGCAGGCGGCAAGCGUUAUCCGGAUUUACUGGGUGUAAAGGGAGCGCAGGCGGAUGUGCAAGUCUGGAGGGAAAGGGGGGGGCCCAACCCCAGAACUGCUGUGGAAACUGUAAGGCUGGAGUGCAGGAGAGGUAAGCGGAAUUCCUGGUGUAGCGGUGAAAUGCUUAGAUAUUAGGAGGAACACCAGUGGCGAAGGCGGCUUACUGGACUGCAACUGACGUUGAGGCUCGAAAGCGUGGGGAGCAAACAGGAUUAGAUACCCUUGUAGUC
rnacentral:rRNA from 1 species